UUUAAUGGUUCUUAAGUUAUAUUACAGCGCCAUAGACAAUGAUAUGGACAGGAAUCAUUAGAUGAUGAGAUUCCAGAACCUGCACGGGACCAGAUUCUACUUGCCGCUGGGUUUGGAUGAGAUGUGUAGGUACACUCAUAUGGUUGAUGGAAAGCCAUUCACUGAUGACACCCUGGGGCCAGGUGUGGUAGAUUUACCUGGUUCAGAGUUUGCACUGCUAUAAACCUUGGAACCACCAUCUUUGCUGAGCUUUUACACACUGAAUAGAAGCUGUGAAAAAUAGUUCCGGAAAAAGCCAGCGAAAAUCUGCCUCGGGAUGCAGAAAUCUAGCUACAGCAUAAUGUCGUCCAACAGAAAGAUCUUUGGUCGUGGAGGGAAAAAAGGUGGACAACUGCCCAGAGAAUCAGAGAAACUGCCUUGUUUAACCUUAGACUAAUAUGGUGGACGGAAGCGGAUUUCUGGCUUUGGAGUCUUUCUUGUCUUUUUUGACCUUGGGCAAAAAAUGAAUCUCCUGUCAGAUGCAUUAGCAAGGCAUAAAAGAUUCGGUGUAAAAAGCUACGCCAAUUAAGUUGACAUUAUUAAUAAGGUCAUUUCUUUUGACAUGUAAACUGUUUUAGUCGACAGCUCGGGUGAGAAAAGUAAUGGUUUUACAGUUUUAUGAUCACAGACGGUCUCAAAGAUAUUCAUUAAUUUCAAUUAUUGUCAAUUUAGUAAGAGCGUAACACAAUAAAAUCUCUAUUUGGAUUGUGAAGAUCGUAGAUAAAAUUAUUGAAAGUUGUAAGACAAAAUAAAAAGAAUCAAAACUG